AUUGAACGCUGGCGGCAGGCCUAACACAUGCAAGUCGAGCGGAGCGGCGGACGGGUGAGUAAUUCCUAGGAAUCUGCCUGGUAGUGGGGGAUAACGUCCGGCAACGGGCGCUAAUACCUCCUACUAUCAGAUGAGCCUACGUCGGAUUAGCUAGUUGGUGGGGUAAAGGCCUACCAAGGCGACGAUCCAUCACGGGUCUGAGAGGAUGAUCAGUCACACUGGAACUGAGACACGGGCCAGAAGCCUACGUGAGGCAGCAGUGGGGAAUAUUGGACAAUGGGCGAAAGCCUGAUCCAGCCAUGCCGCGUGUGUGAAGAAGGUCUUCGGAUUGUAAAGAACUUUAAGUUGGGAGGCGUUACCAACAGAAUAAGCACCGGCUAACUUCGUGCCAGCAGCCGCGGUAAUUC
rnacentral:rRNA from 1 species